UGCGGAGUACGUCACGUGACGCAUUUUGGCGAAUCGCGUCGCCAGAAAUGAACUUUAAACGUCCUUAGCCAGUGAGAUUCUGUCUCCCGGUGUAGAUCAGCCUGUUCAGCCUGUAGUUUCUGCAGGAGCUGGAGAAAGGAAAUGACCGUAUUUAGACCGGAGUCUGAGAGAGUCAUACAUCAGUCUGAGGUCACACAGACAUUGUUCAAAAUCAAAAACAAAAGAAAUGACCAUCACGUCUGUGGACGUGGCAGCAGAAGUGGAUGGUAGCUUUUCCUCAGACUCCACCAGUCAACAGCCCAAGCCUGUCUCCCUCUUUCUUUACCCUUGGGUGCAAUCUGAACCAACAAGAGUCAUUGAGUCAGUUGCAUCAUUGAAUAAAUAUCAAUAUUAGUGAACUCUUUUUCUUUUUGAAAGGCCAAAGAGAUCUCUGGCCAACCAACGUUCACCGAGACACGUGUACUUUAAUAAGGGGGAAUAGCAUCCAUCAAUGGUCGCAUGCGAGCACGGAGAAAAUCAGAGCUACUGAGACUUUUGUAAAUCUGCCAGAAAUUUACUAAAAGAACAAUGAAUGAGGUCAAACCAAAAAAAAAAAAAAAAAAACUAAAGUCAGCGUUUUGUCAUCCGUCCUCGUUUCAUGCUCAUCAUCCUGGAGUUCUGCUUCCCUCGCGAUCUUCUGUACGAUCUGAACCCAGAAACAUGACAACAAGUUUCAAGCAGUAUCCUGUAUAAGCAUGUCUGAUCUGCUAGUCCAAGUGUCCAUUCUCUCUACUCUACACAAAGUAAAGAAAAAGAAAUGUUUAGACCUGAUGCGAACGGUCGGCAUGUUUCAUACAGGAGAGAGACGUGUUUUCCUCUUCCUCUUUUUUCCCUCUUUCUCUACCUUCGUCUAUGUCUUUCUCCAAUAAACACACAGGACAAUAAACACACAGAACAAAACAAUAAACACACAGAACAAAACAAUAAACACACAGAACAAAACAAUAAACACACAGAACAAAACAAUAAACACACAGGACAAUAAACACACAGGACAAUACAAUAAAUAGAAAGGACAAUAAACACACAGGACAAAACAAUAAAUAUACAGGACAAUAAACACACAGGACAAAACAAUAAACACACAGGACAAUAAACACACAGGACAAUAAACACACAGGACAAAACAAUAAACACACAGGACAAUAAACACACAGGACAAAACAAUAAACACACAGGACAAAACAAUAAAUAGAAAGGACAAUAAACACACAGGACAAAACAACAAACACACAGGACAAUACAAUAAAUAGAAAGGACAAUAAACACACAGGACAAACAAUAAACACACAGGACAAAACAAUAAAUAGAAAGGACAAUAAACACACAGACAAAACAACAAACACACAGGACAAAACAAUAAACACACAGGACAAAACAAUAAAUACACAGGACAAAACAAUAAAUACACAGGACAAUAAACACACAGGACAAUAAACACACAGGACAAUAAACACACAGGACAAUAAACACACAGGACAAAACAAUAAACACACAGGACAAAACAAUAAAUACACAGGACAAUAAAUACACAGGACAAAACAAUAAAUAGAAAGGACAAUAAACACACAGGACAAAACAAUAAAUAUACAGGACAAUAAACACACAGGACAAAACAAUAAACACACAGGACAAUAAACACACAGGACAAUAAACACACAGGACAAUAAACACACAGGACAAUAAACACACAGGACAAACAAUAAACACACAGGACAAAACAAUAAAUACACAGGACAAUAAACACACAGGACAAAACAAUAAAUAGAAAGGACAAUAAACACACAGGACAAAACAUAAACACACAGGACAAAACAAUAAAUAGAAAGGACAAUACAAUAAAUAGAAAGGACAAUAAACAUACAGGACAAUAAACACACAGGACAGGACAAUAAACACAAGACAAUAAACACACAGGACAGGACAAUAAACACAAGACAAUAAACACACAGGACAGGACAUAAAUACACAGGACAAAACUAACACACAGGACAAUACAAUAAAUACACAGAACAAAACUAACACAAAGGACAAUAAAUACACAGGACAAUACAAUAAAUAGACAGGACAGUAAAUAAACAAGACAAUAAAAGAACAAGACAAAACAAUAAACACACAGAACAAAACAAAUACACAGGACAAUAAAUACACAGGACAAUACAAUAAAUACACAGGACAAUAAAUACACAGGACAAAACAAAUACACAGGACAAUACAAUAAAUACACAGGACAAUAAAUACACAGGACAAUAAAUACACAGGACAAAACAAAUACACAGGACAAUAAAUACACAGGACAAAACAAUAAAUACACAGGACAAAACUAACACAAAAGGACAAUAAAUACACAGGACAAUAAAUACACAGGACAAAACAAUAAAUACACAGGACAAUAAAUACACAGGACAAAACAACAAAUACACUAAAUAGAAAGGACAAUAAAUACACAGGACAAAAGAAUAAACACACAGGAAAAUAAACAACACACGAGACAAAACAAUAAAUACACAGGACAAUAAAAGAACAAGACAAAAGAAUAAAUAGACAGGACAAUGAAUAAACAAAACAAAAUAAAUACACAGGACAAUACAAUAAAUAGAAAGGACAAUAAACACACAGGACAAAACAAAAAACACACAAAACAAUAAAUACCCAGGACAAUAAAUAAACAAAAGAAAACAAUAAAUACAUAGAACAAACCAACAAACACAGGACAAAACAACAAAUACACAGGACAAAACAAUAAAUACACAGGACAAUAAAUAAACAAAAGAAAACAAUAAAUACACAGGACAAAACAAUAAAUACACAGGACAAAACAAUAAAUACACAGGACAAAACAAUAAAUACACAGGACAAUACACUAAAUAGACAGGACAAUAAAUACACAGGACAAUAAAUAUACAGGACAAUAAAUAAACAAAACAAUAAAUACACAGGACAAUAAAAGAACAAGACAAAACAAUAAAUAGAAAGGACAAUAAAUACACAGGACAAAACAAUAAAUAGAAAGGACAAAACAAUAAAUACACAGGACAAAACAAUAAAUAGAAAGGACAAAACAAUAAAUACACAGGACAAAACAAUAAAUACACAGGACAAUACACUAAAUAGACAGGACAAUAAAUACACAGGACAAUAAAUAAACAAAACAAUAAAUACACAGGACAAUAAAAGAACAAGACAAAACAAUAAAUAGAAAGGACAAUAAAUACACAGGACAAAACAAUAAAUACACAGGACAAACAAACACACGAGACAAAACAAUAAACACACGACAAAACAAUAAAUACAUAGGACAAUAAAUACACACGACAAUGAAUAAACACAACAAAAUAAAUACACAGGACAAAACAAUAAACACACAGGGCAAUACAAUAAAUAGAAAGGACAAUAAAUACACAGAACUAUAAAUACAAAACACUAAAUACACACGACAAUGAAUAAACAAAACAAAACAAUCAAUACACAGGACAAUAAAUACACAAAAGAAAACAAUAAAUACACAGGAAAAUAAACACACAAAACAAUAAAUAUAUAGGACAAUAAAUAAACAAAACAAAACAGUAAAUACAUAACAAUAAACACAGGACAAAACAAUAAAUACACAGGACAAUAAAUACACAGGAAAAUAAAAUAAGACAAUACAAUAAAUACACAGGACAAUACAAUAAAUACACAGGACAAUAAAAAUACAGGACAAUAAAUACACAGGACAAUACAAUAAACAAACACACAGGACAAUACAAUAAACACACAAGACAAUAAACACACAGGACAAAACAAUAAACACACAGGACA
ensembl:lncRNA